AGGAGGGCAUCCUUGAUAGCCAAAGAGCGAGUAAGUGCUCUCCAAAGAAAGUGAAGGACCUUAGGAUGAAUUUUAAUCCUCCAAAUAUCUUUCCACAACGAAGUUGGAAGGGCUAGGGACGAGCUAGGCCUAUCAAUGAUUCAGGGGCAUCGAUAUCAUCACUCUGUUGUCUCUCUGCACUCUGCAGUUGCAGGUUAUGGGAGAUAAGAUCAAACCUUUCAUUUCAAUUCUAACAUUCGUCGUGGUCGCCGCUGCCAUCGCCGCCUUCUCACAAGCACAGACACUAACACUAUACUCUGAGCUUCAACAAGCUCCUCCUGAGUUAUUUAAUCUCAACGAAACCAGCAAAAGAAUCUCAGAGGUAACUGUUCUUACACAGCUUUUAUUUAUACAAGCUGCUCUUCACCCAGAUACACAAGGGAUCAAAUCAGUCUAGCUUUCGGCGACAAAUAUGGCAAUCAGGUUAAUUAGUUCCUUCUUCUUCUUCUUAAUUUGAAUCUAUCUCAUGACUCCAAAUAAUUACUGCUAGUUGAGUUUGGUGAUGAUGAUGAUGAUUAAGGUUUAUGCUCCGAGAUUGGACGACCCUUCUGAAAAAUUCGCAUGUUGUAUUUAUCAUUGGUUCCGGAUAACAGAACCAGGUACCGACCAGAUAUGCUAUCUGUAUCCGUACAGAAGUGGUGAUGAUGGUUGGAAGCCACGGAAAGUUGAAGUCUCUGGAACUUACUCUGAAUCUGUCACUUUUUAUUUCAAUACUUUGAUUCCUAAUCAAGUUUGGUACGCAUCAAUUCAUGUCCGAGUUCUUCAUCAGCUUCCUCAGCAACUGCGUAGCGGAUCACUAGCUCUCAGGUUUUAACGCAUUAUGUUAUGAUUAUUAAUUACAUAUUUGUGCUUUGUCGUCUCAGAUAUCUUUCAACAUUAUUCCUGUGAGUCUAGUAGGAGCAAUUUUAAUGGAACAAGCCUCUGUACUGAUUAACUAUUUGAAGGCUGGCUUGCAAUGAAAUUAUGAUCUAUAUAUAUACACGUCCUUUUAUUUGUGAUUGUUAA